UACCCCAGCAAUGAGCAAAGAGAUACCUUGUUGGUGGUGUUCUUAUAUCAGUCAAGGGCAGAGUAGAUGGCAGUCCUUAGUUCAUCCUUGCUGGAUGCUUGGCUUGGUGGCCAAAGCUAUCUUUUGCUUAGGACUCAUAA